CUGCAUAGACAAAGACCAAAAUGAUCAUAUCUGUCUUCGGUUGGAAUUACAAGUAUAGCAGAGCUCUUUGCUUAAGGCUUCAAGAAAGAGCGGACAAAAACAUUGUGGAUAAACGAUAUCUGUACCAGACAGCUGGGUGCUUCCUUUCUGGGUCUGGGCCAGCCGAUACGGCGUCUACUCUGAAUCAGCCUCUCUCUCUCUGCUGUUCGAUGCGUGAAGAUGAAAAUCAGAGGCUGAGCAAGCCUGAGUCUAAUAAAGAAACUCCGACUCCCCAUUCUCCCCCCUCCUUUUUUUCCUGUUGGAGAGAGAUCGACAAACUUUUCACGUGGAUGGGUCUACUUGGAGUUAAUCCAGAGACGUAGUAUGGAGAAGAACUGUAGGCUGGUCUGUGAGCAUUCUCUAAGGAACAUAGUGACCUGUUAUCUUAUCUUGGUGUUGGAAGGGGGCUUGACAUCAGGACUCAAUGCUUAUCCUUUGGAAGUAGUUUGGUCUCACUUGUGACUCCAAGAAGCUAUAGCAUGUGCAGUGUCCACACCCUGGUAAAGCAAUCUCAGCAGACUGGCUGAACCAAGUGGAGAGUAACCAGCAGGCCUCAAAAUCGUCAGAGAAUUAGAAGGGUAUCUACUCCCGGCAUGUGAAGACUCCCCCAGCAGAAUGGGCAGAUGAGAACAAUUUGUUCCAAUGGCCAUGGUGGCGACCGAAGCAAGCGCUGUGGAGGGUAUAGAGCUUGGUUCGACAUUGAAUACCCCAAGGUCAUCCACUGCAUCCCAGGCCAUUGCCUGUCUUCCUGACUUUUGUCUUGCCACUGGACUUUGAGGACUCUGGGAGACAGUGAGGCUGACCUUUGUGCAACUCUGCCUCACUGAAAUCCAGUUCAUGCCCGAGUCAAGAUGUCACCCGUUGAUGUCCUUGGUCCUCUUCAAAAAUGAACGACAAAGAACAGCCACAAAGACAAUAACAAGAUUUCA